rnacentral:lncRNA from 1 species
AUGGGGUCCCUACAUUUAAAUUCAUUAAAAUGAUAAUCGAAAUUGCAUGCCUUUUUUGUUUUAUUAUUUUUAAAUUUUUACAAAACAUUUAAAUUAUUUGUAUAAAUGGACUUAAUUAAAAUUUAUUAAAACAUUCAGAGUUAUAACUACUGAUAUUGAAACUAUAGGGACCAAUUUGAAAGGUUCCCAAAUUAAGGAGAAAUGGAGAAAUUUACCCAAAAGAUGAGUCGCUUUUCUUUAUUUAAAAGCGAAAAAGUGAUGAUCACAUUUUACUUUUUUUAUUUCUUUUCUAAAUAAAGGUUUUAUUUCCAACUUUUGCUUUCGCCGAAAGAACAUUUUUAGUACGGAUUUUCACUGGGUAAUGCCAAAUUUACCCUUGAACAUCUGCAACUUAGUUUGCAUGACCCGUUCGAUUUGAGUAAAAUUAUAAUUUCAAAAUUAAUUUUUUAUUUUAGUUAAGUUAUUUUUUUAAUAAUAAUUCUAUCGGCUUAUCUAUUUAAGAUAAAAAAAAUUAGGAAAGUAAAUACCAAAUGAAUGGUUUAUGAUCAUAUUUGAGAGUGGAAAUUUUUUUAAAAAUUUUACAAAGUAAAUUAGCCAAAGAUAAUAUUUAACAAACUUCAUAUAUUUUAAUGAGGCUCAGACCAUCUUUCUCUUUUAAAUUCAUAUGUUAAGGAGAGAAAAAGUAGAGCCUUAUAGAUUGCAUGGAGGAGUUAUAUUUGAGUGAUGUGAGACAUAUUAACACAUAUCUGGACCUGGGCAACUAUAAUUUAUUUUAGCCUUAGUUUAUUUAGCUUCAUUGAAAUAAAUAAUUUCCUCCCAAAUAAAUAAAAAAAACGAUGUCGCGUGAAAUGAGAUUCCUUUAUAAGUGCUAGGCCACCCAAUUUAUGCUCGAAAAUUAGCUUUUGUUUCACCUAAUUUCUACCAUUCUGUGUAGUUCUUGCAUUGAUAUAUGUAAUAAUUGUAGAGAUUAAGGCUUUCAAAUGGGCUUCAUUUCGUGCAAUCAUUUCUUCCUGAUAAUUUUGGUGAGAAACACUUAAUGUCGUCUGAGUAAAUAAAUAAAUGCUAACAAAUAAUUUGAAUUAUGACGGGUUAAAAUGUAUAAGAUUUAAUUUGUUAAAAGCAAAAAUAUAGGGUUUAAUUUGUGACUAAGGUUAAACCAUUAAUUUUUUUUUUUAGAUCAAUAACUCAAAUUGGGCGUAAUUUUUUUCUUCUUCUUGUUGCUUGUGAAUUUUUUAUUUGUAAUUAAUAAAUAAUUAUAUAAAAAAUUCACCAGAGUAAGUCAAACUGUUCAUUUAAUUACAUUAAAAAAAUCCAAUAAAGUAAGCUUCAACAUUAUUUACUCAAUCCACUUCAUGAAGGUUCUCUCGCUUUUCUCAGGAAGAUUAGUCCAUGCUUGCAAAUUGCAACGGAAGGGACUUAUUAAACUUGUCAAAUUUAGCUAAAUCUUCCUUUAUGAAAAAACAAAACAAAACAGUUAUAGCAAUGUACCAAUAAGGUUCCAUACAUCUGUGAGUUUAUAUAAAUGUGUAUAUAAGCUUAUGUAUUCAUUAAUAGAAUUAUUGAUGUGCUGAUAGAGGUUCCAAUUUAUUUGUCAAUCUUUCUAUUUUUGAAUGUCUCAAAUUUUUUGUCGUCCUUAAAAAAUCUAAGCAUAAAGGCCCUUUUUGAUAAUCGUGGCAAAUGGUAGGAUUGGACUAACAAUCCAGUGAGCCCCCUAAUCCGAUGUUUGAUUUCGAAAAAAGUGGUAGGACUAAUAGUACGGUCAGACUAGCAAUCCCCAAAAUUGGGUAGAUUGCUAAUAUCAUGGGAGACAUGGUAUUAGCAAUCCCAUUCCAAAUUUAGACCAAAAUUGACCAAAUUACCCUUAACUCAUGCAUAUGUGUGUAACUAAAGGGUAAAUAUGAAAAUUCAUAAUAAUGCCAUCACAUUGAGCCCAAAUUGACCAAAUUACUCUUGAUAUUUAACAAUUUCACUUUUGAAUCUUGUGCAAUCAAAAUAAUGAGGUUGGACUACCCCAUCCCUUACGAAUCUCUACUCAUUAUCAAUUCAAUCAUAUCUCACGCCUUACUAAUUCUAUUCAAUCCUAUCAACUUAUUCAAAUGAGGCCAAAAAUUUAUUAGGUAUCCAAAACUAUCCCUCACUUCUUAAAAUUCGUAUAUACACAUGUACAUGAAUGCGUCACAAACGCUCAUAAAUACUUUUAAAAACUGGAAAGUGUGAAUAUCAUAUCAUUAUUAAAAAUGAUUAUUGUUUGAUUUGAUUUAAAUUGCAUUAAAUGCAUAUUCCCUUCAUCCCACAAGAGAGAAACAAAAUGAGUCGGGGAAUUAUUAUUUGUUUGGAGACAUUUUACUACACGCACCCUAAAAUGGAGAAAUACAAUGCAUACGCGCAUAAUAUUAUUCCAGUAAUUCAUAGCAAACGUUACAAUAAAUUGUAACAAAAAAUUAAAAAAUAUUGUUUUUUUCAUUUCAAAACUAGUAACAAAAAACACAAUGAUUCAUGACAAAUCACAAACAUACAUUACAUGACUAGACUAUUUCUUAAUGGCAUAUACUGUUGGAAAAAUGGGUUCAUAACCCAUUAGUUUUGCUCAACUUUGAGACUUAAUUAAAGUGGAGCCCACACACUUUUGGGGUGGGUUCAAGUGGUUUGGUUAACCUCACGUAAAGAAAUAAGAAUAUUAGAAUAGUGUUCAAAAACUACUUACAAUUGAAUUAAAAAUUAAUUAAAAAGUGUGCUUACUUAAAUAUGUUUUGUGUAUUGAAAUUUGUUAGUCUCACAUUGGAAAAUAGAUUAAGUUUAGGGCCCGUUUGGCUGGAGGAUUUGGAGGGGGGAUAAUUUUUCCUCACGGAUACCUUUCCCCCGGGGGUUUGCUUGACUUAACUAAUUUUUCCUCCAGGAUAAUUUUUUCCAACGGAUAAGUUAUACUCCGGAGGUGGAUAAUUUUUGGGUGGGCCUUAACCCCGAAACUAAAAGUAUCCAGGGGAAUAAGGGUGGUGGGGAUAAGAAAAACUAAUAAAGAGAAACAAAAGGUAUAAUUUAUAAUAUAGAAUAUAGAGAGAAAAAAAAUAUUUGUAAUAUAUAAAUAUUUUAUUUUUAGUUUCUCGAUAUAUUUUCUUUCCUUAUCCUCCACCCUUAUCCCACCAUUAUAAAGAGUAUCCAAACAAAGUUAAAAGUUAUCCCCUCCAAAUUUAUCCCCCUCUAAAAUUUAUUCUCCUCUAAAAAGUUAUCCACCUCCCAUAUCCUCCAAGCAAACGGAACCCCUAAGGUGACUUAUAAAGCAAUACAUUAAUACCUUGUGAUGGACUCCAAGGGGUACCCAAGUUUUUAGAAGGGGAAAAAUUAUGGAUGUGUUUGGGCCCAGACUAUGGGCUCUGUGUGCUGGACUAAAAAUCUCACACACGCGUACCCCACUCAGGCAGGGGCGUAGCCGUGGGCUGAGCUUAGGCCAUACUGCUAUAUAUAUUUUUUACAGAGAAUUUUAUUUAUUAUUUUAAUAAAUAAGUUUUUAUAAAAGCUUUUUCCUUCAUCCAUUCUAGAAUAUCUUUGCAAUACAAUUUUUUCUCUUCCUAUGCACUUCUCUUAUGCAUAUUUUCAUACUGUAAGAGAGAGUACAUCAUUGUUGUUAAUUCGCUAGACUCGCUGCUGUAGUGUUACACAAGUGAGAUUCCGACGGGUGUAUCAUAGGAGACAGAGUUCAUUCAUUCCAUUUUGCACCAGUGCGGAUGACUAAUAUGUCUUAAGGACACUGUAUUAAAUACAUGCCUCAGUCUACAAUUUCAUACUCCUACAAUAAAAUUCUAUAAGUUUUUUUUUUAAUUAUUAAAUCAAUAUCAGUUAAUUUUCACACAUUGCACAGAUUAUUGUCCAACAUAUACAGUGUGUACCUUAGUUUUUUCACGUUAUGUAUAAGAAAAUUAGAGAAAAACAAACACUAGAGCUCACAACAAUAAAAUGAACAUUUACCAGACCCACCCGUUGGGUUUUAUUGUUGCAGAAAAACGGAUCCGAAUGUCAAACAAGAGCUGCCCCAUAGAGACAUGAUUUGGCAUAGGAGGAAGGGGAAGGAAUUUCCUACCCUCUUUUCUACUCUUUCUUUUCGCUUAGGGGAUGAAAGAAACCCAAACUAGCCCAAAUACGUAGGACCCAGGCCCAGACUUUUAAGCCCAAAUCAUUCUGGGUUGGCACUGGCUGAAAAACUGUUUUUUUUUUCUCUUAGAGAGAAAAUCCGAUAAUAUAAAAAAAUUAUAAAUUGAUAAAAAAAAUAAUAUUUUUUUUAUGAAGUUAAGUCUAAAAUAAAAUUAAGAUGCAAAUGUAUAUUACUAACAGUUUUUGAGAAUUUUGAAAUUUAAGAAUUAUUUAAAUUUUUUACUUUUUUAUAAAAAAAAAUUUUCAAUUUUGUGACGAUAAAUGUAGUACUUAGGCAUAUAUAAUAUUAUUGCGUAAAUUGCUCCUUGCGUAGCACACGGGUUAUUUGUUAAUAACCCUAAAAAUAAAUGACUUUUAAAAUUGGACCUAUAAAAAUAUCAAAUUGGAUUAAUUUGGAUUUCAGCGUUUUUUUAAACCUUUUAUUUUAUUUUUCUAAUCAAUACAAAAAAGUAAUAAAAAAAAAUGAAAAGAUUCACUUAAAAUAAAAAUAAUUCAACAGAGAAAACUUUCUAAUCGUUUUAAUAAGCAUGACCAAGAAAACUUUCCUUUUCAAUUCCCGUCUUGACCAAAGGAUCUACACCAUGGAAACCUUUGUUUUCUUUCCAAAAACUGUAGUUUUUAUUUAAUUUUAGUUUGUUCACCAUGGACGUCUAUAUUUUUCUGAGCGUUACUAAUAGAAUUUAGAUUAAGAAAAAUUUUUAAAAUUAAAUUAAAUUGUUUCACAUAUUGGUUAAGUGGAAUUUACAGACAAAAAUAAAUGUUACACAUUCAUUUUGAAUUCUGAGAAUUUUUCUUAAUCUUAAAAUUUUCUUGCAGAGAAAUCAAAAUUUUAUUUACUUCUAAUUGCAUAAGUA